UGGACUGGACUGAUCUUGUCUUGGACACAACCUCGGCUUCACCAUGAAGAAACUGACAGGCCUCGACAGGCUGAUCUGGACUCGGACAGAACCUCCUCUAGCUUCUGGACAGUUCUUCGGACAUCACGGCGGAGUAUCGAGCAGAACUUCGACUGAUCUGAACCCGUAGAACUGAACUAACUCCGGACAGCAUCUCUAGUUGAUCAUCAAAGGAACUGAGUGGCCUGGACGAAUUCAGUUGGAC
rnacentral:lncRNA from 1 species